UGCGACCACCAGGUGAUGGUCAGGAGGUUGUUAACUGUCUCGCUAAAGUAAUAAGUAGUCACAGCUGGUACCAGGGAAAGACCAGCUCCUAAUAGAUAGAAAACACCUGAAAUAGAUAGAAAACACCUGAAACAGGUGAUUCAGCCGCUGCUGGAUAAGAUCUCAGGUGCUGGGAGAAGUGACGCAAGACCCCGGAAGUCGGCCGACGUAUAAAACCCCAGGUCAAAAGGUCAAACUGUGCAUUUGUCUUUCGCGUCUGCUGCUUGGCUCUCUUCCGAGCGUACUUUCAUUCCUGCCCUAAAACUUGCCUCAGUCUUUCCUGCCUGAUACCCCUCAACCGAAUGCCUUCUUCUGAGGAGGCGAGAAUUGAGGCUGCUGCCGACCUGACGUGGAUUUUCCACCGCUAACACAUUUUGGCGUCGUGUGACUCAGGAGGAACCAUGGAUUUCGGAGAUUUUGGCCUCCUGCAGUCAUAAAAUAAACUGAGACUCAGAGUUGGCAGGUAACAUGUUCAAGAUCUUGAAACUAGCAGGUGGCAGAGCUGGGGUUCAUCUGUCUUCAUGUGCUCAGAGUAAGUAUAGCUAAUCACUUGUUUAAA